CAAUUACAAAAGGGCUUGAAGCUAUGAGUUCAAUCUCUUUCUCUCCCUCACUCUCUUGGACUCUCUUGUCCUUCCAGGUCCUGCCAUGGGAUGAUGCAGCAAGGAGGCACUCACCAGAUGCCAGCCCCUUAAUCUUGGACUACCCAGCCUCCAAAACUUGUAUGUGCUGCCAAAGCAAGCCUGUAAUAGGAUCUUUUAAAUAGGAUCAUAACUAAACUUGACAAUGAGACAGCAAGAAACUCUGAAACCUGCACCACGAAGAAGUUCUCCAGUUGUCAUCUGGCCAAGUACUUACAAGAUUUCUAGAACUUAAAGAGCAGUAAUAUAUUUUUCUUCUACAAAAA